rnacentral:rRNA from 1 species
AUUGAACGCUGGCGGCAGGCUUAACACAUGCAAGUCGAGCGAGUGGCGGACGGGUGAGUAAUGUCUGGGAAACUGCCCGAUGGAGGGGGAUAACUACUGGAAACGGUAGCUAAUACCGCAUACCAUCAGAUGUGCCCAGAUGGGAUUAGCUAGUAGGUGGGGUAAAGGCUCACCUAGGCGACGAUCCCUAGCUGGUCUAAGAGGAUGACCAGCAAUACUGGAACGUAGACACGGUCCAGACGCCUACGGGAGGCAGCAGUGGGGAAUAUUGCACAAUGGGCGCAAGCCUGAGGCAGCCAUGCCGCGUGUGUGAAGAAGGCCUUCGGGUUUGAAAGCACUUUCAGCGAGGAGGCGUUACUCGCAGAAGAAGCACAGGCUAACUCCGUGCCAGCAGCCGCGGUAAUAC